CGGGGCAUAGCACAGUCCGGUAGUGUACCUGGUUUGGGACCAGGGGGUCGUAGGUUCGAAUCCUGCUGCCCCGACAA
rnacentral:tRNA from 3 species